GACGAACGUUGGCGGCGUGCUUAAUACAUGCAAGUCAACUGAAGCAGUGGUAGCAAUAUCGCUGUGGAGGUGGCGCACGGGUGAGUAACACGUAGGUAAUCUGCCUUCAGGUCUGGCAUAACUCCGGGAAACCGGGGCUAAUAGCAGAUGAUGCAGCGGCUCGACAUCGAGACAGUUGUUAAAGCUAUGGCGCCUGAAGAUGAGCCUGCGUCUGAUUAGCUAGUUGGCGGGGUAACGGCCCACCAAGGCAACGAUCAGUAGCUGGUCUGAGAGGAUGAUCAGCCACACUGGAACUGAGACACGGUCCAGACUCCUACGGGAGGCAGCAGUAAGGAAUAUUGCCCAAUGGGAGAAAUCCUGAAGCAGCAACGCCGCGUGAGGGACGAAGGGCUUUUGCUUGUAAACCUCUGUAGUGAGAGAAAAAAAUCCCAAUCUUUGGGACAUGAUGGUAUCUCAAAAGUAAGCCACGGCUAACUACGUG
rnacentral:rRNA from 1 species